rnacentral:rRNA from 1 species
CAAAUCAGGUAGGAUUACCCGCUGAACUUAAGCAUAUCAAUAAGCGGAGGAAAAGAAACUAACAAGGAUUCCCCUAGUAACUGCGAGUGAAGCGGGAAAAGCUCAAAUUUGUAAUCUGGCGGUCUUGGGCCGUCCGAAUUGUAAACUAGAGAAGCGUUAUCCGCGCUGGACCGUGUACAAGUCCCCUGGAAUGGGGCGUCAUAGAGGGUGAGAAUCCCGUCUUUGACACGGACUACCAGGGCUUUGUGAUGCGCUCUCAAAGAGUCGAGUUGUUUGGGAAUGCAGCUCAAAAUGGGUGGUAAAUUCCAUCUAAAGCUAAAUAUUGGCGAGAGACCGAUAGCGAACAAGUACCGUGAGGGAAAGAUGAAAAGAACUUUGGAAAGAGAGUUAAACAGUACGUGAAAUUGCUGAAAGGGAAACGCUUGAAGUCAGUCGCGUUGGCUAGGGAUCAGCCUUACUCUGGUGGGGUGUAUUUCCUUGUCGACGGGUCAGCAUCAGUUUUGGUUGCUGGAUAAAGGCCAGGGGAAUGUGGCACCUUCGGGUGUGUUAUAGCCCUUGGUCAGAUACAGUGGCUGGGACUGAGGAACUCAGCACGCGCAAGCUGUGCUUAGGAUGCUGGCAAAAUG